GCCCGCACAAGCAGCGGAGCAUGUGGUUUAAUUCGAAGCAACGCGAAGAACCUUACCUAGACUUGACAUCCCCUGCAUAACCCAGAGAUGGGCGAAGUCCUUCGGGACAGGGUGACAGGUGGUGCAUGGUUGUCGUCAGCUCGUGUCGUGAGAUGUUGGGUUAAGUCCCGCAACGAGCGCAACCCUUAUCAUUAGUUGCUACCAUUAAGUUGAGCACUCUAGUGAGACUGCCCGGGUUAACCGGGAGGAAGGUGGGGAUGACGUCAAAUCAUCAUGCCCCUUAUGUCUAGGGCUACACACGUGCUACAAUGGUGAGUACAAAGAGAUGCAAGACCGCAAGGUGGAGCCAAACUCAAAAACUCAUCCCAGUUCGGAUUGUAGGCUGCAACUCGCCUACAUGAAGCCGGAGUUGCUAGUAAUCGCGAAUCAGCAUGUCGCGGUGAAUACGUUCCCGGGCCUUGUACACACCGCCCGUCACACCAUGAGAGUUGGUAACACCCGAAGUCCGUGAGGUAACCGUAAGGAGCCAGCGGCCGAAGGUGGGAUUGAUGAUUGGGGUGAAGUCGUAACAAGGUA
rnacentral:rRNA from 1 species